AUUGAACGCUGGCGGCAUGCUUUACACAUGCAAGUCGAACGGUAACAGGCCGCAAGGUGCUGACGAGUGGCGAACGGGUGAGUAAUGUAUCGGAACGUGCCCAGUCGUGGGGGAUAACGCAGCGAAAGCUGCGCUAAUACCGCAUACGAUCUAUGGAUGAAAGCGGGGGGAUCGCAAGACCUCGCGCGAUUGGAGCGGCCGAUAUCAGAUUAGGUAGUUGGUGAGGUAAAGGCUCACCAAGCCGACGAUCUGUAGCUGGUCUGAGAGGACGACCAGCCACACUGGGACUGAGACACGGCCCAGACUCCUACGGGAGGCAGCAGUGGGGAAUUUUGGACAAUGGGCGCAAGCCUGAUCCAGCAAAUGCCGCGUGCAGGAUGAAGG
rnacentral:rRNA from 1 species